UACAGAGGGUGCAAGCGUUGUUCGGAAUUAUUGGGCGUAAAGGGCGCGUAGGCGGUUCGGCAAGUCUCUAGUGAAAUCUCAGGGCUCAACUCUGAGUCUGCUGGGGAAACUGCCGGGCUUGAGUGUGGGAGAGGAGAGUGGAAUUCCCGGUGUAGCGGUGAAAUGCGUAGAGAUCCGGAGGAACACCAGUGGCGCAGGCGGCUCUCUGGGUCGGCCCUGACGCUGAGGCGCGAAAGCGUGGGGAGCGAACGGG
rnacentral:rRNA from 1 species